AUACGGAGGAUCCGAGCGUUAUCCGGAUUUAUUGGGUUUAAAGGGUGCGCAGGCGGCCAUUUAAGUCAGCGGUUAAAUCGUGGGGCUCAACCCCAUUCUGCCGUUGAUACUGGGUGGCUUGAUUGCGGUCGAGGUUGGCGGAAUUCGUUGUGUAGCGGUGAAAUGCAUAGAUAUGACGAAGAACACCGAUUGCGUAGGCAGCUGACCAGACCGCAAAUGACGCUCAUGCACGAAAGUGCGGGGAUCGAACAGGAUUAGAUACCCUGGUAGUCCGCACAGUAAACGAUGAAUACUUGUUUUCGGCGAUAUAGUGUCGGAGGCAAAGCGAAAGCGAUAAGUAUUCCACCUGGGGGGUACGCCGGCAACGGUGAAACUCAAAUGAAUUGGCGGGG
rnacentral:rRNA from 1 species